GGCUGCAGUGACAGACUCUGCUGUGAGGCCCACAGUGACAGCAAACCCACAGAGAUGCUCCACUAGAGGGCGACAUCAUCCAGUAGGCGGGGCUCUCCUUCUGCACUGUGUUCAACCAUUGUGUCAAUAAUAAGUGCUGCUGUGAAGAGAACAAUUCUCAGACUGAAUGUUGAACAUCAGCUAGUUUCUCCUGUUGAUUUAAACCUUGUUGUACAGAUGGAACAUUGGCUGUGGAUUAUUCUUGCUGCUCUUUUCUUUGAGUGUAAAGGAGAAGACAAAGUGAUCCAGGAACAAGGAGAUGUCAUUGCUGCUGAAGGAGACACAGUUACACUUCACUGCAAAUACGAAACAACUUCUGCAUACGCAUAUUUGUUCUGGUACAAACAAGAAGUUAACAAAUUUCCAAAAUAUGUUUUAAGACGUGACACAGCAUCAGAGGACAACGCUCAAGACUUCCCCAAAAACAGAUUUGAUGCUGAGCUCAACAAGACAUCAGUUCCUCUGAAGAUCCAGAAGCUUCAGCUGUCUGACUCUGCUGUGUACUACUGUGCUCUGCGGCCCACAGUGACAGGAAACAGCAAAACUCUGUACAAAAACCUUUGGAGCAAAGACAACAGAAUACUCCACAACAUCCACUAGAGGGAGCCACACACUGUUAAACCUCUGAUUCUUGUGUCAUUGGACUGAUGACAAAGACAACAGAGAAAUGAAGCAGUAAAGAUCAGAGACAGAGACAGAGCUGCUGUGGAAGCACAAAACUGUUUGAUUGGCUGAUCCAAUUAGUCCCAUCACUUCUCUCUAAAGUCUAAAAGAAAAGUUGAUGCAAACACAAAAAUCAUAGGACCCUGGAAUGAAAUGAUAUCAAUGAUACUGUCCUCUGUGCUCCAGGCCUGGUGCCUCAACAGUAGGAUUGUAGACAGUAACUGCUCACCGGACUUACAGGCCAUUCCAAUUAGGUGUAGGU